rnacentral:rRNA from 1 species
GAGUUUGAUCCUGGCUCAGGAUGAACGCUGGCGGCGUGCCUAAUACAUGCAAGUCGAGCGGACCUUUAAAAGCUUGCUUUUCAAGGUUAGCGGCGGACGGGUGAGUAACACGUGGGCAACCUGCCUGUAAGACUGGGAUAACUCCGGGAAACCGGGGCUAAUACCGGAUAAUCUAUAAGACCACAUGGUCUUAUAAUAAAAGAUGGCUUCGGCUAUCACUUACAGAUGGGCCCGCGGCGCAUUAGCUAGUUGGUGAGGUAACGGCUCACCAAGGCGACGAUGCGUAGCCGACCUGAGAGGGUGAUCGGCCACACUGGGACUGAGACACGGCCCAGACUCCUACGGGAGGCAGCAGUAGGGAAUCUUCCGCAAUGGACGAAAGUCUGACGGAGCAACGCCGCGUGAACGAUGAAGGCCUUCGGGUCGUAAAGUUCUGUUGUUAAGGAAGAACAAGUACGAGAGUAACUGCUCGUACCUUGACGGUACUUAACCAGAAAGCCACGGCUAACUACGUGCCAGCAGCCGCGGUAAUACGUAGGUGGCAAGCGUUAUCCGGAAUUAUUGGGCGUAAAGCGCGCGCAGGCGGUCCUUUAAGUCUGAUGUGAAAGCCCACGGCUCAACCGUGGAGGGUCAUUGGAAACUGGGGGACUUGAGUGCAGAAGAGGAGAGUGGAAUUCCACGUGUAGCGGUGAAAUGCGUAGAGAUGUGGAGGAACACCAGUGGCGAAGGCGACUCUCUGGUCUGUAACUGACGCUGAGGCGCGAAAGCGUGGGGAGCGAACAGGAUUAGAUACCCUGGUAGUCCACGCCGUAAACGAUGAGUGCUAAGUGUUAGAGGGUUUCCGCCCUUUAGUGCUGCAGCAAACGCAUUAAG